rnacentral:rRNA from 1 species
CUACGGGGGGCUGCAGUGGGGAAUAUUGCACAAUGGAGGAAACUCUGAUGCAGCAACGCCGCGUGGAGGAUGACACUUUUCGGAGCGUAAACUCCUUUUAUAUAGGAAGAAGAUGACGGUACUAUAUGAAUAAGCGCCGGCUAACUCCGUGCCAGCAGCCGCGGUAAUACGGAGGGCGCAAGCGUUACUCGGAAUCACUGGGCGUAAAGAGCGUGUAGGCGGAUUAAAAAGUCAGAAGUGAAAUCCUAUAGCUUAACUAUAAGACUGCUUCUGAAACUCUUAAUCUAGAAUAUGGGAGAGGUAGAUGGAAUUUUUGGUGUAGGGGUAAAAUCCGUAGAGAUCAGAAGGAAUACCGAUUGCGAAGGCGAUCUACUAGAACAUUAUUGACGCUGAGACGCGAAAGCGUGGGGAGCAAACAGGAUUAGAUACCCCGGUAGUC